rnacentral:rRNA from 1 species
ACCUUCGGGUGGAGCGGCGGACGGGUUAGUAACGCGUGGGAAUAUACCCUUCACUAUGGAAUAGCCUCGGGAAACUGAGAGUAAUACCAUAUACGCCCUUCGGGGGAAAGAUUUAUCGGUGAAGGAUUAGCCCGCGUAAGAUUAGAUAGUUGGUGGGGUAAUGGCCUACCGAGUCUACGAUCUUUAGCUGGUUUUAGAGGAUGAUCAGCAACACUGGGACUGAGACACGGCCCAGACUCCUACGGGAGGCAGCAGUGGGGAAUCUUAGACAAUGGGCGAAAGCCUGAUCUAGCCAUGCCGCGUGAGUGAUGAAGGUCUUAGGAUCGUAAAGCUCUUUCGCUAGGGAUGAUAAUGACAGUACCUAGUAAAGAAGCCCCGGCUAACUCCGUGCCAGCAGCCGCGGUAAUACGGAGGGGGCUAGCGUUGUUCGGAAUUACUGGGCGUAAAGCGUACGUAGGCGGAUCAGAAAGUAUGGGGUGAAAUCCCAGGGCUUAACCCUGGAACUGCCUCAUAAACUCCUGGUCUUGAGUUCGAGAGAGGUGAGUGGAAUUCCAAGUGUA